GGAAAGGUCUUGGAAUAACAACCAGAGGGGUCAGGCAAAUCCUUGGCUUGCUGAUGCUUGGAAAACAAUUGGAUUGUUGCAUCCCAAAGAGGAGCAUGAGGGAGGAAAGUCUGGAGGGUUUCAUGGCUGGGGAUUUUGGUGCUCCAAGCCCUGCCAUGGUCUGGCAGUGGCAGCGUUUGGCUUUGAUGUGUCAGUCUUGGAAAAGUCUUGGAAAAACCAGGGUUGGGAAGGCUGUGGCCGUGCAGGGCCCGCUCACACCACGAGAUGGUGCAGCCGUGCAGCGCUGCCCUUUAAAGGCACCGCAGGGGAAAUUUAAAUGACAUUAUUGUCUCAAGGAAGAGCAUCACCACAGCUUUGGACAUCCGAGUCCCCUGCCAGGAUUGUGCUCCAAAGGUCCAUGGAUAACGCCUUCCUCCAGGCUCCUUCCCACCUGGAAGCUCCUGCCCUGUGAGGAAAGACUGGAGCAGUUUGUGUUCUUGCUGCCUGGAGAUGAGGAGGCUCAGGGGGCCCCUCUUCACAGCACCCCAGGGCUGAAAGGUGCCACAAAGAGGAUGGAGGCUUUAUCUUCCCACAGAACCAUGGAGAAGACAACAAGGAAUGGCUACAAGUCGCCCAGAAAAGGUUUUAUCUUGACAGUGAGAAUCAUGGAAACAACUUCCCCAGGGAUGUGCUGGAGGAUUUCAAGGUGAGGCUGGAAAAUGAUGGAAAGCCUCACCUAAGCUGCCUUUCCAUGAGAAGAUGAUUAAGAUUUCUUUCAGCCUGGGCUGUUCUUUGAUUCUGUGGUUCCCAUUUAGCAUCCUCCCCCUCCUGGCUGGGCGUGCCCAGCAAUGGGGUGACCAUGGCAAAGCAGGGGUGCUCUGCAGCUCCAGCAGCUGAGGAGGAGCCACCCAACCUUGGCUAUUUCCUCCUGGCUUGGAUUUCCCCUCCUCUUUUGCCUCUCCUUUAAUUCAUGAGGGCAAGACUGCCCUAAAAAUUAAAUCCCACUGGGAUCCCUGGUUCCUGGCCACACAGGGCCCUGGGGGUGUUGGAGCUGCAAGGAACUCCUGCACCUCUGAUAGCAAAACAAAGACGUUCUCAGCUGCAAAAAUCAGAUUAUCUGCAAUCCAUGCUCCCCAUGGGAUGCAGGAUGAAAGUGCAAUUUGAUGAAUGUUACCCAGCCAAUAUGGAAAAUGUAAAUUAAAAGGAGAAGAAUUCCUUGACAGGCAUUUCUAAACCUUUGCAGCGUGCCAGGGAAAAGGUCAGGCUCUAGUUUAUGAUUUGAUGUUAAACCUGAGUCUCUCCAAGAUCCAGUUUCUCCUCAAAUUCUUUCAGUUCCUUGGAUGCUGUUGGGGCACAGGCAUUUCUCACCUUCAUUCGUAUGAAAAGGAAGGAAAUCAUCUACAGCUCAUUGUCCAGGGGGUAAAACCAGUCCACAAAUAAUACAUUUUCUUUCCUAUUCUGUAAA